rfam:Nomascus leucogenys chromosome 10, whole genome shotgun sequence.
GCCGGGAGUGGUGGUGGGCUCCUGUAAUCCCAACUACUCGGGAGGCUGAGGCAGGAGAAUCGCUUGAACCCGGGAGGCAGAAGUUGCAGUGAGCAAAGAUCGCACCAUUGCACUCCAGCCUGGGUGACAGAGCGAGACUCUGUCUCAA